GAAUCAACGCUGGCGGCGUGCCUAACACAUGCAAGUCGAACGAGAAAGUGGAGCAAUCCACAAGUAAAGUGGCGCACGGGUGAGUAACACGUGACUAACCUACCCUUGAGUGGGGGAUAACCUAGGGAAACCUGGGCUAAUACCGCAUAAUACCUAUGGGUCAAAGGAGCAAUUCGCUUUUGGAGGGGGGUCGCGGCAGAUUAGUUAGUUGGCAGGGUAAUGGCCUACCAAGACGAUGACUGUAUCCGGCCUGAGAGGGCGCACGGACACACUGGAACUGAAACACGGUCCAGACUCCUACGGGAGGCAGCAGUGGGGAAUUUUGCGCAAUGGGGGAAACCCUGACGCAGCAACGCCGCGUGGAGGAUGAAGACCCUUGGGUCGUAAACUCCUUUCGAUCGGGACGAUAAUGACGGUACCGGAAGAAGGAAGCCCCGGCUAACUUCGUGCCAGCAGCCG
rnacentral:rRNA from 1 species